GGGAAGCAGACUGGACAGAAAGGAACUCUGAGCAGCUAAACUCUGACUAAUCCCAGGGUAUACCUGCGUUUUCUCUUCACCAGAUUUUUCCUACCAGGAAGAGCAUGUGCUGACCAACAGACAUGAAUUUCAGCCUGGUAGUUACAACAUUCACAGGAGUUUCACUCGUUGCCCAGGCUGGAGUGCAAUGGCGCGAUCUCAGCUCACUGCAACCUCCGCCUCCCCAGUUCAAGCGAUUCUCCUGUCUCAGCCUCCUGAGUCACUGGAAUUACGGGCCCCUGACACCACGCCCAGCUAAUUUUUUGUAUUUUUAGUAGACAUGGGGUUUCACUAUGUUGGCCAGGCUGGUCUCGAACUCUGACCUCAUGAUCCUCCUGCCUCGACCUCCCAAAGCACUGGGAUUACAGGUGUGAGCCACUGUGCCUGGUCCAUUAAAAACAUUUGUAAAGCUGUGGUGUUGAUAAAGUAUUAUGAAAGACUGCAAACAAAGAUGGCUAAUUUUUAGUUAUUAUUGCACAUGUUUAGAGGAGCUAAUGACAUUUUCUAUGAUUAAUAAAAGACAUUAUUUAUGUUUUUAUUUAUGUAUUCCACAACAUUUAUUUUAUUUUCUCCAUUUCAGGAAAACCACUAUGUUGUUACAAUAAAGAUUUUCAUGUAAUUUGUGUUCAAUUGAUAGUAAUAAUGUAACAAGUUAAAAAUGAAGGUAAUUGUGUUUGAAAUUU
rnacentral:antisense_RNA from 1 species